AGGUAUACUUCAAAAAUGCUUCUUGCUACAAUUGAUGAACACCAUUGAGGAACUUAUGAUUUUAUUUAUUUGCCAAUUGACUUCAAAAACAAAUGCAAUGUGGGCUAUGCUUUUGUCAACAUGAUUGGUCCUCUUCAUAUUGUUCCAUUACAUCAGGCAUUCAAUGGAAAAAAGUGGGAGAAGUUCAAUAGUGAGAAGGUGGCAUCUCUUGCAUAUGCUCAAAUUUAAGGAAAAACUGCUCUUACUGCUCAUUUCCAAAACUCGAGCUUGAUGAAUGAGGAUAAACAUUGCCGCCCUAUUCUAUUUCAUACUAAUGGUCCAAAUGCAGGUGAUCAGGAGCCAUUCCCCAUGGGUAGCAAUAUACGAUCAAGGCCAUGUAAACUGCUUUCUAGAGCACUAACUGUAAGACCCUAUAUCAACUACAAA